rnacentral:rRNA from 1 species
AGUGAACGCUGGCGGUAGGCCUAACACAUGCGAGUCGAACGGCAGCACAGUAAGAGCUUGCUCUUACGGGUGGCGAGUGGCGGACGGGUGAGGAAUACAUCGGAAUCUACUUUUUCGUGGGGGAUAACGUAGGGAAACUUACGCUAAUACCGCAUACGACCUGCGGGUGAAAGCAGGGGAUCUUCGGACCUUGCGCGAUUGAAUGAGCCGAUGUCGGAUUAGCUAGUUGGCGGGGUAAAGGCCCACCAAGGCGACGAUCCGUAGCUGGUCUGAGAGGAUGAUCAGCCACACUGGAACUGAGACACGGUCCAGACUCCUACGGGAGGCAGCAGUGGGGAAUAUUGGACAAUGGGCGCAAGCCUGAUCCAGCCAUACCGCGUGGGUGAAGAAGGCCUUCGGGUUGUAAAGCCCUUUUGUUGGGAAAGAAAAGCAGCAGGUUAAUACCCCGCUGUUCUGACGGUACCCAAAGAAUAAGCACCGGCUAACUUCGUG